UUCAAGGACGUAUUUAAUUUGAAUUUUGGUAGGUCUAGGGUUCUUGGAGGAAACUUGCUUAUUUAAUAGUGUUGUUUUCUAAAAUGCAUAAAGAAAGUAUAGAUUAUGUACAUCAAAAUUCUCCGAAUAAUUAUGAAGAUGUAACUAAGGAUUCUGAAGUUUCCAUAGAUAUGAUGUAUGCAAAUAUCUCACAAAUGCGAAAUGAAUAUAUGAAAAAUGAACAAGCACGAUAGAUAACCGAAAUAUAUAAAGGAGUUCCACUAGAUCACUCGUGGAAGGAAUGACUGAAUAUAUUAUGAAUGUACAAGAAUUACUUUUGGCGUUAUCCACUAUUUUAGGAGCACUGCGCAAAUAAAAGCUUAAUUUGUGUUACAUUAUUCUGUUUGUUUUUAUUUUUCUCUUUGAAUACUAAGUUAUUUUUUUAUUAUGAUUACAUGUAUCUCUUUUCCCUUUAUAUAUACAGAGAGAUAGAUUAGCAUUUUCAGAAAGUUGUAUCUAUUAUUUUGGUACAAGUAACCUUAUUUAAUAAAUAAUUAGAAAAAGGUGGAUUGAAUAAAACUGAAGCAUAUAUGUUUUAGAAUUUUGAAUGUUUAAGUAUCUUUUAUUAUUUUCUUUCAAAAUUACAAUAAUAG